rnacentral:rRNA from 1 species
GACGAACGCUGGCGGCGUGCCUAAUGAAUGCGAGUCGAACGAGGUAGGUAACUGAGUUUACCCUUCGGGGUAUUCUCGACUUCCCACCUAGUGGCAAACGGGUGAGUAACACGUGGGUAACGUGCCCCCAAGACGGGAAUAACAGAGGGAAACCCCUGCUAAUACCCGAAUGCUGUUGGUGCAGAUGCACCGACCAGGAAAGGCUUCGGCCACUUGGGGAUCGGCCCGCGGCUCAUUAGCUAGUUGGUGAGGUAACGGCUCACCAAGGCAACGAUGGGUAGCUGGUCUGAGAGGACGAUCAGCCACACUGGGACUGAGACAUGGUCCAGACUUCUACGGGAGUUAGCAUCCGGGAAUAUUGCGCAAUGGGCGAAAGCCUGACGCAGCGACGCCGCGUGGGUGAUGAAGGUCUGCGGAUCGUAAAGCCCUGUCAGGAGGGAAGAAGCCCACCGUGGGAAGAGACAGUACCUCCAAAGGAAGCCCCGGCUAACUACGUGCCAGCAGCCGCGGUAAUACGUAGGGGGCUAGCGUUGUCCGGAAUUACUGGGCGUAAAGCGCGCGUAGGCGGCCUGGUAAGCGGUGGGUGCAAUUUCAGGGCUCAACCCUGAAACUGCUCGCCGAACUGCUAGGCUAGAGGACGGGAGAGGGCAGUGGAAUUCCCGGUGUAGCGGUGGAAUGCGUAAAUAUCGGGAGGAACACCAGUGGCGAAGGCUGCUGCCUGGAACGUAUCUGACGCUAAGGCGCGAAAGCCAGGGGAGCAAACGGGAUUAGAUACCCCGGUAGUCCUGGCCGUAAACGAUGCUCACUAGGUGUUGCCGGCAUCGACCCCGGCAGUGCUGUUCUGCUAACGCGUUAAGUGAGCCGCCUGGGGAGACGGUCGCAAGGCU